CCUACGGGUGGCUGCAGUGGGGAAUAUUGGACAAUGGGCGAAAGCCUGAUCCAGCCAUGCCGCGUGUGUGAAGAAGGCCUUCGGGUUGUAAAGCACUUUCAGUGGGGAAGAAAGCCUUGGGGCUAAUACCCUCGAGGAAGGACAUCACCCACAGAAGAAGCACCGGCUAACUCCGUGCCAGCAGCCGCGGUAAUACGGAGGGUGCGAGCGUUAUUCGGAAUUACUGGGCGUAAAGCGCGCGUAGGCGGUCUGAUAAGCCGGUUGUGAAAGCCCCGGGCUCAACCUGGGAACGGCAUCCGGAACUGUCAGGCUAGAGUGCAGGAGAGGAAGGUAGAAUUCCCGGUGUAGCGGUGAAAUGCGUAGAGAUCGGGAGGAAUACCAGUGGCGAAGGCGGCCUUCUGGACUGACACUGACGCUGAGGUGCGAAAGCGUGGGUAGCAAACAGGAUUAGAUACCCUGGUAGUC
rnacentral:rRNA from 1 species